UACAGAGGUCCCAAGCGUUAAUCGGAAUUACUGGGCGUAAAGCGUGCGUAGACGGUAGCGUAAGUCAGAUGUGAAAGCCCCGGGCUCAACCUGGGAACUGCAUUUGAGACUGCUCUGCUCGGGUGCGGAAGAGGGAAGCGGAAUUUCCGGUGUAGCGGUGAAAUGCGUAGAUAUCGGAAGGAACACCAGUGGCGAAAGCGGCUUCCUGGUCCGACACCGACGUUCAGGCACGAAAGCGUGGGGAGCAAACAGG
rnacentral:rRNA from 1 species